rnacentral:rRNA from 1 species
CUUGGCGGCCAUAGCGCGGUGGUCCCACCUGAUCCCAUGCCGAACUCAGAAGUGAAACGCCGUAGCGCCGAUGGUAGUGUGGUACGCCGUCUUUU